UCGACCAAGGUUCGACUCGAGCGCCAGCGAGAGAGCGUUGCCGCAGGCAACGACCCGAAGGGCGAAGCGCGCAGCGCUGAGUAAUCCUUCCCCCACCACCA
rnacentral:sRNA from 1 species